GACGAACGCUGGCGGCGUGCCUAAUACAUGCAAGUAGAACGCUGAAGGAGGAGCUUGCUCUUCUGGAUGAGUUGCGAACGGGUGAGUAACGCGUAGGUAACCUGCCUGGUAGCGGGGGAUAACUAUUGGAAACGAUAGCUAAUACCGCAUAACAGUAGAUGUUGCAUGACAUUUACUUAAAAGGUGCAAUUGCAUCACUACCAGAUGGACCUGCGUUGUAUUAGCUAGUUGGUGGGGUAACGGCUCACCAAGGCGACGAUACAUAGCCGACCUGAGAGGGUGAUCGGCCACACUGGGACUGAGACACGGCCCAGACUCCUACGGGAGGCAGCAGUAGGGAAUCUUCGGCAAUGGACGGAAGUCUGACCGAGCAACGCCGCGUGAGUGAAGAAGGUUUUCGGAUCGUAAAGCUCUGUUGUAAGAGAAGAACGAGUGUGAGAGCGGAAAGUUCACACUGUGACGGUAUCUUACCAGAAAGGGACGGCUAACUACGUG
rnacentral:rRNA from 1 species